GACGAACGCUGGCGGCGUGCCUAAUACAUGCAAGUAGAACGCACAGUUUAUACCGUAGCUUGCUACACCAUAGACUGUGAGUUGCGAACGGGUGAGUAACGCGUAGGUAACCUGCCUGGUAGCGGGGGAUAACUAUUGGAAACGAUAGCUAAUACCGCAUAAUAUUAAUUAUUGCAUGAUAAUUGAUUGAAAGAUGCAACUGCAUCACUACCAGAUGGACCUGCGUUGUAUUAGCUAGUAGGUGAGGUAACGGCUCACCUAGGCGACGAUACAUAGCCGACCUGAGAGGGUGAUCGGCCACACUGGGACUGAGACACGGCCCAGACUCCUACGGGAGGCAGCAGUAGGGAAUCUUCGGCAAUGGACGAAAGUCUGACCGAGCAACGCCGCGUGAGUGAAGAAGGUUUUCGGAUCGUAAAGCUCUGUUGUAAGAGAAGAACGGGUGUGAGAGCGGAAAGUUCACACUGUGACGGUAUCUUACCAGAAAGGGACGGCUAACUACGUG
rnacentral:rRNA from 1 species